rnacentral:rRNA from 1 species
AUUGAACGCUGGCGGCAGGCCUAACACAUGCAAGUCGAACGAGUGGCGGACGGGUGAGUAAUGUCUGGGAAACUGCCUGAUGGAGGGGGAUAACUACUGGAAACGGUAGCUAAUACCGCAUACCAUCAGAUGUGCCCAGAUGGGAUUGGCUUGUUGGGGGGGUAACGGCUCACCAAGGCGACGACCCCUAGCUGGUCUGAGAGGAUGACCAGCCAAACUGGAAAUGGGACCAGGUCCAAGAUCCGAAGGGGGGCAGCAAGGGGGAAGAUUGCACAAUGGGCGCAAGCCUGAUGCAGCCAUGCCGCGUGUAUGAAGAAGGCCUUCGGGUUGUAAAGUACUUUCAGCGGGGAGGCGUUACCCGCAGAAGAAGCACCGGCUAACUCCGUGCCAGCCGCCGCGGUAAUUC